rnacentral:rRNA from 1 species
AGUGAACGCUGGCGGUAGGCCUAACACAUGCAAGUCGAACGGCAGCACAGUAAGAGCUUGCUCUUACGGGUGGCGAGUGGCGGACGGGUGAGGAAUACAUCGGAAUCUACUUUUUCGUGGGGGAUAACGUAGGGAAACUUACGCUAAUACCGCAUACGACCUACGGGUGAAAGCAGGGGAUCUUCGGACCUUGCGCGAUUGAAUGAGCCGAUGUCGGAUUAGCUAGUUGGCGGGGUAAAGGCCCACCAAGGCGACGAUCCGUAGCUGAUCUGAGAGGAUGGUCAGCCACACUGGAACGGAGACACGGUCCAGACUCCUACGGGAGGCAGCAGUGGGGAAUAUUGGACAAUGGGCGCAAGCCUGAUCCAGCCAUACCGCGUGGGUGAAGAAGGCCUUCGGGUUGUAAAGCCCUUUUGUUGGGAAAGAAAAGCAGCAGGUUAAUACCCCGCUGUUCUGACGGUACCCAAAGAAUAAGCACCGGCUAACUUCGUG